UACGUAGGGGGCAAGCGUUGUCCGGAUUUAUUGGGCGUAAAGAGCGUGUAGGCGGUUUGGUAGGUCCGUUGUGAAAACUCGAGGCUCAACCUCGAGACGCCGAUGGAAACCAUCAGACUAGAGUCCGGAAGAGGAGAGUGGAAUUCCUGGUGUAGCGGUGAAAUGCGCAGAUAUCAGGAGGAACACCGAUGGCGAAGGCAGCUCGCUGGGACGGUACUGACGCUGAGGCGCGAAAGCGUGGGGAGCGAACAGG
rnacentral:rRNA from 1 species